rnacentral:rRNA from 1 species
AGGACGAACGCUGGCGGCGUGCCUAACACAUGCAAGUCGAACGGGACCAGGGGCAACUCUGGUUCAGUGGCGGACGGGUGCGUAACACGUGAGGAACAUGACUUUCGGCGGGGGAUAGCCGGCCCAACGGCCGGGUAAUACCGCGUACGACCUCUCGGGGACAUCCCCGGUUGGUGAAAGCAGCAAUGCACCGAAAGAGUGCCUCGCGGCCUAUCAGCUAGUUGGUGAGGUAACGGCUCACCAAGGCGACGACGGGUAGCUGGUCUGAGAGGAUGGCCAGCCACAUUGGGACUGAGACACGGCCCAGACUCCUACGGGAGGCAGCAGUGGGGAAUAUUGCGCAAUGGGCGAAAGCCUGACGCAGCGACGCCGCGUGUGGGAUGACGGCCUUCGGGUUGUAAACCACUGUCGGGAGGGACGAAUGCGCCGCAAGGCGAGUGACGGUACCUCCGAAAGGAAGCACCGGCUAACUCCGUGCCAGCAGCCGC